rnacentral:rRNA from 1 species
UACGUAGGGUGCAAGCGUUGUCCGGAAUUAUUGGGCGUAAAGAGCUCGUAGGCGGUUUGUCGCGUCUGCUGUGAAAACUCGGGGCUUAACCCCGGGCCUGCAGUGGGUACGGGCAGACUAGAGUGCGGUAGGGGAGACUGGAAUUCCUGGUGUAGCGGUGAAAUGCGCAGAUAUCAGGAGGAACACCGGUGGCGAAGGCGGGUUGCUGGGCUGACACUGACGCUGAGGCGCGAAAGCUAGGGGAGCGAACGGG